rnacentral:lncRNA from 1 species
GCAAGCUUUAUCGAGGCAAAAGCCUUUUUGCCGCGGCAUCCAUUUGAGAUGUCCUUUAGGGUGCGUUUGGUUCGCGCUAUCUUUUAAAGAUUCCUACUAAUUCAAUGAGAAUAAAAAAAUAUGACGGUGUUUGGCUAAACACACUAAGUAAUCUUUGGUAAUAUUGAAUUCACUUGGGAAUAAGAUUCACCCCAAAGUACUAAUCUCAUUCCCUCGUGGGAGGGUGGGUAUCCUCAUAUUAAUAGAUUGGGAUAAUCACAAUAUGUCUAAUCUCUUUCUUUCUUCCUAUCCGCAGGCUAAUUGAUAUUAUUUUUCUUUACACUCUAACCUUAUAUCUCUCUCUAAACUUAUUUUUCUUCCUAAAAUUAAACUUUUUUUUCUCUCUCUAAACUAAGUUUUCUCUCUCUCUUUCUAAAAUUUCAACUCUCUCACUCUCUCUAAUUUCGACUAUAUUUUUCUUUCUAUUUUUUUAAUUAUGCUCUCUCUCUCUCUCUAACUUAUACUCUCUCUCCCUUUUUUCUAAAAAGAUAUUGAAACUUUUGAUAACAUUAUCUAAAAUUAAAUAAAUAAAUAAAUAAAUAAAUUGUAUCUUUUUUGUAAUAUUAAAUAAUUUGGCUAAUUAAUAUUAUCGUGCGAACCAAACACAGGAAUUUCACAUUCUUAGUAAUAGGAUGAAUAGAAAUAAGAUUCUCGGAUAUCUUUUAUUCCUAUCUAGUAAUCUUUCAUAAUGCGAACCAAACGCACCCUCAGUAUAAUUGUCUACCGAAGCUUGAAUCUGAUGCCAAAAUUUUUUUUUAUACUACAUAUCUCUCUCUACUGGAUUCAUUAAUUCUCAAGUCAAUUAAUGUAUAUUGUAAAAUCAUAUGUACGAAAGAAGAGAGAGGAUGCGAUUUACGCGUCUAAAGUUUUUGAUUAAAUGUUUAGAUUGAUAGCACUAUUCAUGCAAUUGACCCUAGAAAGAAAGAAAAGAAAAGAAAAGAAAAGAAAAGCACCACAUGAAUUUCGUAGGUGAUCAUCUCUAACUUAUUCCAGACAAAGUUCUAAGUGGGAAUCGAAUGAAAGAGUUUGCUAAUACAUAAUAAACUACAGCAUUAGUUAGGAAAUUUAAUAAUCAUCUAUUGACACUGGAGUUCAACUUUAUUCCUCUUAGCAUUAUUAACAAGAAAAUUAAUGAUGAUGGGGCACUAAAUGCACAUUGCUCAUUCAACCAUCAAUACCAGAGUGGUACUUUACAAAGAAAAUACUAAGAAG